ACCGAGACUAGAGUCACACCCUGACACACACUAUUGUCCUGAUGUGCUAUAGUACUCGAAGAGCAAUUACUGAUCUUAUUCACUGACUGGCUCCUUAUAGCUCAGCCAGCCACAUGGUCUGUGACAUUU